rnacentral:rRNA from 1 species
CCUACGGGAGGCAGCAGUGGGGGAUAUUGCACAAUGGGGGGAACCCUGAUGCAGCGACGCCGCGUGGGUGAAGAAGCGCCUCGGCGCGUAAAGCCCUGUCAGCAGGGAAGAAAAUGACGGUACCUGAAGAAGAAGCCCCGGCUAACUACGUGCCAGCAGCCGCGGUAAUACGUAGGGGGCAAGCGUUAUCCGGAUUUACUGGGUGUAACGGGGGCGCAGGCGGCGGUGCAAGCCAGGAGUGAAAGCCCGGGGCCCAACCCCGGGACUGCUCUUGGAACUGGGUGGCUGGAGUGCAGGAGGGGCAGGCGGAAUUCCUGGUGUAGCGGUGAAAUGCGUAGAUAUCAGGAGGAACACCAGUGGCGAAGGCGGCCUGCUGGACUGCAACUGACGUUGAGGCCCGAAAGCGUGGGGAGCAAACAGGAUUAGAUACCCGUGUAGUC